UCAAAGGUUUCCCUCUAAUUAUUUACUAGUAUUACUCACAGCCUAAAAGGAUUAGAUCUCAGAUUUCCCCUGACUUCACAAUCCCGCCGCCGUCCAAACCAUCCACCGCCGCCACCCGCCCUUCAGCACCCUCCACCUCGCCCCAUCCUCUAGCACCCUGCACCGCGCCGCCCGCUCUUCAGCGACCCGGUUGGGUUGCCGUUGUUCUGAUAUUCUGCGCCGGUAGCACUGCCGAUCAUCGCAUCUGGCGACUACCUCAACGACGGUUACCACCACUCUGGAUGCUAGUAUUCAUCUAGGCACUCGUGCUUCUGUUAAUCGCCAUACUACGAAUUCCUGACUGGUCUUCUUUCUUCCUCUGUUCAUCCCUCUUAUCUUCUUUUUUGUAGAUCUGGUGUUCUGUAAUUCUUCUUUUUUGCAGACUUAGUUGUAACGCGUAGCUUGCUGCCGUCUCCGCCUUCAUGCGUUGUGGCUGAUGCGGUGGGAGUUUCCCUCUACCCUCUCCAUCUUUUUACACGCUCGCCACGUCAACGAGCGAUCUGCCGGCCACGUCGUCAAGGAUAGGUGGGAGAGAGAGAGAGCCAAGGUGGGAGAGAGAGAGAGCCAGUACCUUUCUGGUACUACUUGUUUUCCCCUGUUUCAUGUUUUGGAGUUAUGAUGAAGCUUUAAUCUGAAUUUUCUGCCUUUCACAUUAGAAAGAAGGAUGAUUGAGUUGUUGUUGGACUCUUCGAUGCAGCUAGAUUAAAACGCAUAGAUAUUUAGAAUAUUUCACUUUUGAAUAAAUGUAGUUUACAUUGAUAGACUGAAAUGUACCCGCAGAGAUAUUUUUCUUUUGUCAAAUAUGUACGAUUAUUAUGAUAUUGUGGGGAUAAUAUUGGUUUUCCACUUAAUGUAACACAUAUGUGUUCCCCGGUGUA